GGCCUCUUUGGGCUUGAAUCUGCUCCUCAUCCCUGAAUCAAUACUGGACUCUAGCCCAUGGUAGACAGUGGACUCUGCGGAGCUACACCUCUUUUCCCUGGGACUCUUCCAAGUAAGAACUGUGAUGGGCCCUAAGCCCACUCUUGUUUCCCCCAGGAUUCCAUGAGCAGCCCCUGAUUUUAAGGAAAAUAUGAUACAGUCAGAGAGCUACCUCAGAGCCCUCUGACUCAAUAAUGAGUCACUGGGAGCACAGCUACUUGGAGGGCCCCACAUUUUCACUGACUCCUUAAACCAAGAAAUAAGAGCAUCUGCAGCACAGAUUUCUACUUGUCUGGACUAGAUGUCCAAAGACUUCUUGACCCUAUGUCCAUUUCUACCCGUGACCCCUCUGCCUAGUUCUGGAUUAGGGUAGGCCCUGGAUGCUGCCACUCAACAUCAUCCUAGGCCCCUGGCAGGGACUAGGGUAACAACUACCACUUAGCUUUGUCCUCAGCUAGGACCUACAGUUUAGAUUCUGCUCUGCCUCAUUCUGGGCUUAACAGUAGAUUCAAGUUCAUAUGGGUCUGUGGAUGGUUUUUUAGAUUGUCAGGGGGAGAGGAGUAGCCCUACAGUCUUGCCCAUGAUUAUUGUUAUUUCCCCAGCCUUGCGGAGGUCCCAAGGUGGCUCAUCUGUAUGGCCAAAUCUGAGAUGGCUUCUUAGCCUCACUGAAGUCCUAGGAUGACAAUUUGGUCUUAUCCAAGGCUUGAAUGGCUCUUGUCCUGGGACUCAAGCUAGCCUGUCUACCAACACCUGUAGUUCAGCUAUUAGCCUUAAAGCUGCUGCUUCUCCCUCAGCUGUCACCUAGCCCCUUCCUAGUAUGGGAGGGGUUCCUCCUCUUCUUGGUCUUGAAGCUGGGAAGUUGAAGGUGGCACAAGGCUGGAAGCUGUUUUCCUGUUCAUGAUCCUACUGAAAUAUGUUUGCUUCUCAGCCUGAGAUUUGUCUUGGGCCUCCUGCUGUGCCAGGAGGAGAAAGAAUUAUACUCAGUGGGCCCCUGGGGGCAUAGGGAAAGGGCCAAGCUUUUCUUUGAGGAAAUUCCUCUGAGUCACCCAUUAGCAAGGCCUCAGCAUGGACACUGCCCAACCUGGCAGCUCAGAGGGGAACUGGUGGCCUUAAAUGGCUGGUAGCUUUUAUUCUACCUUUACAGGCUGAUAUUGGAUUAUGCUGGUCCUUGCUCAUCCUCCACCUCCAGUGUGGAGGAUGCCAAUGAUCCCAAACCAUACCUUGGGACUUUGUAGAACUCUAGGGUUGCAAAUAUGGUCUGAAUGGGUUUGGGUGGAGCAUGUGAGAGGGCCAUCAAAGUGAUGAUUCAUUGUGGUCUUCCUGAGUGAAAGUCUGAAUAGGUAGAUAGAGAUCCCAAGUCUGAGGUCUUUGGUUGAAGGGUGGAUCCCAGGACAAGAUGUUGGGACUUGUGCUCACUUCAGCAGCACAUAUACUAAAACUGGAACAAUACAGAGAAGAUUAGCAUGGCGUCUAUGCGGGGAUGACACACAGAUUCAUGAAGCAUUCCAUAUUUUUAGUUCAUUUAUUUUGACUGUGAUUUAUUUGGAGUGGAGGCCCCUGUUUUUUAAGAAAACAUGUGGCUCAAGCGGUAGCACGCUCGUCUGGCAUGCAUGCGGCCCGGGUUCGAUCUUCAGCACCACAUACAAACAAAGAUGUUGUGUCUGCUGAAAACUAAAAAAUAAACAUUAAAAUUCUCUCUCU
rnacentral:lncRNA from 1 species